rnacentral:rRNA from 1 species
ACGAACGCUGGCGGCGUGGAUAAGACAUGCAAGUCGAACGAGAGAAUUGCUAGCUUGCUAAUAAUUCUCUAGUGGCGCACGGGUGAGUAACACGUGAGUAACCUGCCCCCGAGAGCGGGAUAGCCCUGGGAAACUGGGAUUAAUACCGCAUAGUAUCGAAAGAUUAAAGCAGCAAUGCGCUUGGGGAUGGGCUCGCGGCCUAUUAGUUAGUUGGUGAGGUAACGGCUCACCAAGGCGAUGACGGGUAGCCGGUCUGAGAGGAUGUCCGGCCACACUGGAACUGAGACACGGUCCAGACACCUACGGGUGGCAGCAGUCGAGAAUCAUUCACAAUGGGGGAAACCCUGAUGGUGCGACGCCGCGUGGGGGAAUGAAGGUCUUCGGAUUGUAAACCCCUGUCAUGUGGGAGCAAAUUAAAAAGAUAGUACCACAAGAGGAAGAGACGGCUAACUCUGUGCCAGCAGCCGCGGUAAUACAGAGGUCUCAAGCGUUGUUCGGAAUCACUGGGCGUAAAGCGUGCGUAGGCUGUUUCGUAAGUCGUGUGUGAAAGGCGCGGGCUCAACCCGCGGACGGCACAUGAUACUGCGAGACUAGAGUAAUGGAGGGGGAACCGGAAUUCUCGGUGUAGCAGUGAAAUGCGUAGAUAUCGAGAGGAACACUCGUGGCGAAGGCGGGUUCCUGGACAUUAACUGACGCUGAGGCACGAAGGCCAGGGGAGCGAAAGGGAUUAGAUACCCCUGUAGUCCUGGCAGUAAACGGUGCACGCUUGGUGUGCGGGGAAUCGACCCCCUGCGUGCCGGAGCUAACGCGUUAAGCGUGCCGCCUGGGGAGUACGGUCGCAAGAUUAAAACUCAAAGAAAUUGACGGGGACCCGCACAAGCGGUGGAGUAUGUGGCUUAAUUCGAUGCAACGCGAAGAACCUUACCUGGGCUUGACAUGUAAUGAACAACAUGUGAAAGCAUGCGACUCUUCGGAGGCGUUACACAGGUGCUGCAUGGCCGUCGUCAGCUCGUGUCGUGAGAUGUUUGGUUAAGUCCAGCAACGAGCGCAACCCCUGUUGCCAGUUACCAGCACGUGAAGGGGGGGACACUGGCGAGACUGCCCAGAUCAACUGGGAGGAAGGUGGGGACGACGUCAGGUCAGUAUGGCCAUUAUGCCCAGGGCUGCACACGUACUACAAUGCCCAGUACAGAGGGGGCCGAAGCCGCGAGGCGGAGGAAAUCCUAAAAACUGGGCCCAGUUCGGACUGUAGGCUGCAACCCGCCUACACGAAGCCGGAAUCGCUAGUAAUGGCGCAUCAGCUACGGCGCCGUGAAUACGUUCCCGGGUCUUGUACACACCGCCCGUCACAUCAUGGAAGCCGGUCGCACCCGAAGUAUCUGAAGCCAACCGCAAGGAGGCAGGGUCCUAAGGUGAGACUGGUAACUGGGAUG